rnacentral:rRNA from 1 species
AUUGAACGCUGGCGGCAGGCUUAACACAUGCAAGUCGAACGGUAGCAGGAGAAAGCUUGCUUUCUUGCUGACGAGUGGCGGACGGGUGAGUAAUGCUUGGGAAUCUGGCUUAUGGAGGGGGAUAACGACGGGAAACUGUCGCUAAUACCGCGUAUUAUCGGAAGAUGAAAGUGCGGGACUGAGAGGCCGCAUGCCAUAGGAUGAGCCCAAGUGGGAUUAGGUAGUUGGUGGGGUAAAUGCCUACCAAGCCUGCGAUCUCUAGCUGGUCUGAGAGGAUGACCAGCCACACUGGAACUGAGACACGGUCCAGACUCCUACGGGAGGCAGCAGUGGGGAAUAUUGCGCAAUGGGGGGAACCCUGACGCAGCCAUGCCGCGUGAAUGAAGAAGGCCUUCGGGUUGUAAAGUUCUUUCGGUAUUGAGGAAGGUUGAUGUGUUAAUAGCACAUCAAAUUGACGUUAAAUACAGAAGAAGCACCGGCUAACUCCGUGCCAGCAGCCGCGGUAAUACGGAGGGUGCGAGCGUUAAUCGGAAUAACUGGGCGUAAAGGGCACGCAGGCGGUUAUUUAAGUGAGGUGUGAAAGCCCUGGGCUUAACCUAGGAAUUGCAUUUCAGACUGGGUAACUAGAGUACUUUAGGGAGGGGUAGAAUUCCACGUGUAGCGGUGAAAUGCGUAGAGAUGUGGAGGAAUACCGAAGGCGAAGGCAGCCCCUUGGGAAUGUACUGACGCUCAUGUGCGAAAGCNNGGGGAGCAAACAGG